CUCACCUUUCUCUCUCACGGCGUCGGCACUUCUCGUCUCGGGCGAAAACGCAACAGUGUUAGGGCACCACUUCCGGCACCGGCGAGGGUGUCUCUCCAUGAGGUCUUCAUACCUUAGUGAUCCACUCGUCAAGAAGGACCCGUGAGCAACGAAGAAGAGCCGGAGAACUUGAGUUUUCUCCGAACCCUAGCAACUCCCCUCCCCGAUUUUGAGUUCAAGGAUAGAUAAAGGAAAGGAAAAGAUUUAGCAAGGAAUGCGAUAAGGUGGUGCGGAGGGUGUGUGAUGCGUGGACUGUGGGAGAGAUCAGGGGAAUUGAGUCACACUUUAUGUUUUAUGUCAAUAGAGAUUGAUAAAGAGUUGUUUCUAUUUUUUCUAAUGUUGCUAUUGGGUCUAUUCCGCA